rnacentral:sRNA from 1 species
GUAAAUCAUGCAUUAUAAUUGUGUACAAAUCCCUGUAUACUGUAUAGUAAAAUCCGCUUUCAUGCGCAUUGAAAUAAGGCAAAAUAAAAUGCCAUUCCAAGGCUUAUUUCGCAAGUAUAAUUUCGCCCUGAUGUGUAUAACAAAGUUAUGUUUACCAGUGUUUUAGUGGCGAAUAAACUGUUUAAGUUGUUACUGUAGCUAAAAUACAUUGAUAGACUAUUGUUCUGAGUCCACAAUCCGUCAAUGUAUAUUUUUUCUCUU